UACGUAGGGUGCGAGCGUUAAUCGGAAUUACUGGGCGUAAAGCGUGCGUAGGCGGUUCGCUGUGUCCGAUGUGAAAGCCCCGGGCUUAACCUGGGAAUGGCAUUGGAAACUGGCGGGCUUGAGUGCGGCAGAGGGGGGUGGAAUUCCGCGUGUAGCAGUGAAAUGCGUAGAGAUGUGGAGGAACACCGAUGGCGAAGGCAGCCCCCUGGGCUAACACUGACGCUCAUGCACGAAAGCGUGGGGAGCAAACAGG
rnacentral:rRNA from 1 species